rnacentral:rRNA from 1 species
GACGAACGCUGGCGGCGUGCUUAACACAUGCAAGUCGAACGGAAAGGCCCUGCUUUUGUGGGGUGCUCGAGUGGCGAACGGGUGAGUAACACGUGAGUAACCUGCCCUUGACUUUGGGAUAACUUCAGGAAACUGGGGCUAAUACCGGAUAGGAGCUCCUGCUGCAUGGUGGGGGUUGGAAAGUUUCGGCGGUUGGGGAUGGACUCGCGGCUUAUCAGCUUGUUGGUGGGGUAGUGGCUUACCAAGGCUUUGACGGGUAGCCGGCCUGAGAGGGUGACCGGCCACAUUGGGACUGAGAUACGGCCCAGACUCAUACGGGAGGAAACAGUGGGGAAUAUUGCACAAUGGGCGGAAGCCUGAUGCAGCAACGCCGCGUGCGGGAUGACGGCCUUCGGGUUGUAAACCGCUUUCGCCUGUGACGAAGCGUGAGGGACGGUAAUGGGUAAAGAAGCACCGGCUAACUACGU